rnacentral:rRNA from 1 species
UACGUAGGGUGCGAGCGUUAAUCGGAAUUACUGGGCGUAAAGCGUGCGCAGGCUGUUCUGUAAGUCAGAUGUGAAAUCCCCGAGCUCAACUUGGGAACUGCGUUUGAAACUACAGGACUAGAAUAUGUCGAGAGGGGGGUAGAAUUCCACGUGUAGCAGUGAAAUGCGUAGAGAUGUGGAGGAAUACCAAUGGCGAAGGCAGCCCCCUGGGAUAAUAUUGACGCUCAUGCACGAAAGCGUGGGGGAGCAAACAGG